rnacentral:sRNA from 2 species
AUGUACCACGCAUACACUGCGGUUCUGACCGCGCCGUCCCUACCCACCUGACGACUGCUCGCCAGGUGGUGUCAGCC